GACGAACGCUGGCGGCGUGCUUAACACAUGCAAGUCGAACGGAAAGGCCUCUUUCGGGCGGUACUCGAGUGGCGAACGGGUGAGUAACACGUGAGUAACCUGCCCUUGUCUUUGGGUUAACUUCCGUAAACUGGGCCUAGUACAUAAUAGGACCUCCUUCGACAUGGAGGGGGCUGUAGACUUUCCGCGGUUGGGGAUGGCGUGGCGGCUUAUCAGCUUCUUAGUGGGAUAGUGGCUUACCAAGGCCUUGACGGGUAGCCGGCCUGAGAGAGUGAGAGGCGACAUUGAGACUUAGAUACGGCCGAGACUGCGACGGGAGGCAGAAGUGGGAAAUCUUGACCAAUGGGUGCAGGGCUGAUGAAGAAAGGCCGUGUGCGGGAUGACGCCGUUAGUGUGGUAAAACGAUUUCGCUCAUAACGAAGCUUUGUGUGACGGUAGUGAGUAAAGAAGCACCGGCUAACUACGUG
rnacentral:rRNA from 1 species